GGUUAAGCGACUAAGCGUACACGGUGGAUGCCCUGGCAGUCAGAGGCGAUGAAGGACGUGCUAAUCUGCGAAAAGCGCCGGCGAGGUGAUAUGAACCUUUGACCCGGCGAUGUCCGAAUGGGGAAACCCAGUGCAAUUCGUUGCACUAUCGUUAACUGAAUACAUAGGUUAACGAGGCGAACCGGGGGAACUGAAACAUCUAAGUACCCCGAGGAAAAGAAAUCAACCGAGAUUCCCCCAGUAGCGGCGAGCGAACGGGGAGCAGCCCAGAGUCUGAAUCAGCUUGUGUGUUAGUGGAAGCGUCUGGAAAGUCGCACGGUACAGGGUGACAGUCCCGUACACGAAAGCACACAGGCUGUGAACUCGAAGAGUAGGGCGGGACACGUGGUAUCCUGUCUGAAUAUGGGGGGACCAUCCUCCAAGGCUAAAUACUCCUGACUGACCGAUAGUGAACCAGUACCGUGAGGGAAAGGCGAAAAGAACCCCGGCGAGGGGAGUGAAAAAGAACCUGAAACCGUGUACGUACAAGCAGUGGGAGCACCUUCGUGGUGUGACUGCGUACCUUUUGUAUAAUGGGUCAGCGACUUAUAUUCUGUAGCAAGGUUAACCGUAUAGGGGAGCCGAAGGGAAACCGAGUCUUAACUGGGCGUUAAGUUGCAGGGUAUAGACCCGAAACCCGGUGAUCUAGCCAUGGGCAGGUUGAAGGUUGGGUAACACUAACUGGAGGACCGAACCGACUAAUGUUGAAAAAUUAGCGGAUGACUUGUGGCUGGGGGUGAAAGGCCAAUCAAACCGGGAGAUAGCUGGUUCUCCCCGAAAGCUAUUUAGGUAGCGCCUCGUGAACUCAUCUUCGGGGGUAGAGCACUGUUUCGGCUAGGGGGCCAUCCCGGCUUACCAACCCGAUGCAAACUACGAAUACCGAAGAAUGUUAUCACGGGAGACACACGGCGGGUGCUAACGUCCGUCGUGAAGAGGGAAACAACCCAGACCGCCAGCUAAGGUCCCAAAGUCAUGGUUAAGUGGGAAACGAUGUGGGAAGGCACAGACAGCCAGGAUGUUGGCUUAGAAGCAGCCAUCAUUUAAAGAAAGCGUAAUAGCUCACUGGUCGAGUCGGCCUGCGCGGAAGAUGUAACGGGGCUAAACCAUGCACCGAAGCUGCGGCAGCGACGCUUAUGCGUUGUUGGGUAGGGGAGCGUUCUGUAAGCCGUUGAAGGUGUGCUGUGAGGCAUGCUGGAGGUAUCAGAAGUGCGAAUGCUGACAUAAGUAACGAUAAAGCGGGUGAAAAGCCCGCUCGCCGGAAGACCAAGGGUUCCUGUCCAACGUUAAUCGGGGCAGGGUGAGUCGACCCCUAAGGCGAGGCCGAAAGGCGUAGUCGAUGGGAAACAGGUUAAUAUUCCUGUACUUGGUGUUACUGCGAAGGGGGGACGGAGAAGGCUAUGUUAGCCGGGCGACGGUUGUCCCGGUUUAAGCAUGUAGGCGGAACGAUUAGGUAAAUCCGGUCGUUUAUUAACGCUGAGGUGUGAUGACGAGGCACUACGGUGCUGAAGUAACAAAUGCCCUGCUUCCAGGAAAAGCCUCUAAGCAUCAGGUAACAUCAAAUCGUACCCCAAACCGACACAGGUGGUCAGGUAGAGAAUACCAAGGCGCUUGAGAGAACUCGGGUGAAGGAACUAGGCAAAAUGGUGCCGUAACUUCGGGAGAAGGCACGCUGAUAUGUAGGUGAAGCCCCUGCGGGUGGAGCUGAAAUCAGUCGAAGAUACCAGCUGGCUGCAACUGUUUAUUAAAAACACAGCACUGUGCAAACACGAAAGUGGACGUAUACGGUGUGACGCCUGCCCGGUGCCGGAAGGUUAAUUGAUGGGGUUAGCGGCAACGCGAAGCUCUUGAUCGAAGCCCCGGUAAACGGCGGCCGUAACUAUAACGGUCCUAAGGUAGCGAAAUUCCUUGUCGGGUAAGUUCCGACCUGCACGAAUGGCGUAAUGAUGGCCAGGCUGUCUCCACCCGAGACUCAGUGAAAUUGAACUCGCUGUGAAGAUGCAGUGUACCCGCGGCAAGACGGAAAGACCCCGUGAACCUUUACUAUAGCUUGACACUGAACACUGGUCCUUGAUGUGUAGGAUAGGUGGGAGGCUUUGAAGCGUGGACGCCAGUCUGCGUGGAGCCAACCUUGAAAUACCACCCUUUAAUGGCUGGUGUUCUAACGUAGACCCGUGAUCCGGGUUGCGGACAGUGUCUGGUGGGUAGUUUGACUGGGGCGGUCUCCUCCCAAAGAGUAACGGAGGAGCACGAAGGUUAGCUAAUCCUGGUCGGACAUCAGGAGGUUAGUGCAAUGGCAUAAGCUAGCUUGACUGCGAGAGUGACGGCUCGAGCAGGUGCGAAAGCAGGUCAUAGUGAUCCGGUGGUUCUGAAUGGAAGGGCCAUCGCUCAACGGAUAAAAGGUACUCCGGGGAUAACAGGCUGAUACCGCCCAAGAGUUCAUAUCGACGGCGGUGUUUGGCACCUCGAUGUCGGCUCAUCACAUCCUGGGGCUGAAGUAGGUCCCAAGGGUAUGGCUGUUCGCCAUUUAAAGUGGUACGCGAGCUGGGUUUAGAACGUCGUGAGACAGUUCGGUCCCUAUCUGCCGUGGGCGCUGGAGAAUUGAGGGGGGCUGCUCCUAGUACGAGAGGACCGGAGUGGACGCAUCACUGGUGUUCGGGUUGUCAUGCCAAUGGCACUGCCCGGUAGCUAAAUGCGGAAAAGAUAAGUGCUGAAAGCAUCUAAGCACGAAACUUGCCCCGAGAUGAGUUCUCCCUGACCCUUUAAGGGUCCUGAAGGAACGUUGAAGACUACGACGUUGAUAGGUCGGGUGUGUAAGCGCAGCGAUGCGUUGAGCUAACCGAUACUAAUGAACCGUGAGGCUUAACCUU
rnacentral:rRNA from 1 species